AGGUCCUGAUUGCCAGGACUGAAUAACAAAAGAAUGGUUUGCUUUCUGACCAACUCUCCUAUAUCUCUGAAGACUGCAGACAAUCCCUUGGGUCCCUGGACAAAUAUGCGUAUAUCAGCCAGGGUGGACUGAUUCCUUGAUGGCUGAAGUCACCAUCCGCCUGAAGUCGGGCCAGAACGUGGAGACCGGUCAGUCAGCCUGGUCCCACUUGCUGAGAAGGACACAGGACACUCUCACUGGUGGGCCAAAGACCAUUUUGAGUGAUGCUGAGCAAGAUGUAUUCAUUUUAAAUUUUAUUCUAUUCAUUUAGGAGGAUGAAAUCCACUGUCAUUGCCCAUAUCUACUAAGUGCUGAGCACUUACACAUGUUCGCUUAAAUGCUUAUCCCUAAAGAGAUCUUUCAUUCUGAA